rnacentral:miRNA from 1 species
GACCACCCCAGGCAAAGGCCAGCAGAAACCCGUUAGAGAUGGGUCCAGGACUGUGUGCGGGGUGCCCA